rnacentral:rRNA from 1 species
CAAAGGUUUAGUCCUGACCUUACUAUCAACUUUAACCAAACUUACACAUGCAAGUAUCCGCACCCCUGUGAGAAUGCCCUACAGUUCCCCGCCCGGGAACAAGGAGCUGGUAUUAGGCACGCCCCGGGCAGCCCAUGAUACCUUGCUUAGCCACACCCCCAAGGGACUUCAGCAGUGAUAAAUAUUAAGCCAUAAGUGAAAACUUGACUUAGUCACGGUUCAAAGGGUCGGUAAAACUCGUGCCAGCCACCGCGGUUAUACGAGAGACCCAAGUUGAUAUUGACCGGCGUAAAGAGUGGUUAAGACAUACAACUAAACUAAGGCGGAAUUUCUUCACAGCCGUUAUACGCUUUUGAAGACAAGAAACCCAAUAACGAAAGUAGCCUUAAUGAGAUCCGAAUCCACGAAAGCUAGGGCACAAACUGGGAUUAGAUACCCCACUAUGCCCAGCCCUAAACAUUGAUAGCCCCCUAUACACCCGCUAUCCGCCUGGGGACUACGAGCACCAGCUUAAAACCCAAAGGACUUGGCGGCGCUUUAGACCCAUCUAGAGGAGCCUGUUCUGUAAUCGAUAACCCCCGUUAAACCUCACCCCUUCUUGUUCCUACCGCCUAUAUACCGCCGUCGUCAGCUUACCCUAUGAAGGUCCCACAGUAAGCAAAAUUGGCUUAGCCCAGAACGUCAGGUCAAGGUGCAGCGUAUGAAGGGGGAAGAAAUGGGCUACAUUCCCUAUAAUACACCAGGGAAAUACGAAAGACUCAUUGAAACAUGAGUCUGAAGGAGGAUUUAGAAGUAAGUAAAAA